rnacentral:rRNA from 1 species
AGAGUUUGAUCAUGGCUCAGAACGAACGCUGGCGCAGGCCUCAAACAUGCAAGUCUAGGGGGCGUAGCAAUACGUCACCGGCGGACGGGUGCGUAACACGUGGGGAAUAUACCUUUUGGUUCGGAACAACGCAGGGAAACUUGCGCUAAUACCGAAUGUGUCCUUACGGAGAAAGAUUUAUCGCCAAAGGAUUAGCCCGCGUUCGAUUAGCUAGUUGGUGAGGUAAUGGCUCACCAAGGCAACGAUCGAUAGCUGUUCUGAGAGGAAGAUCAGCCACACUGGGACUGAGACACGGCCCAGACUCCUACGGGAGGCAGCAGUUGGGAAUCUUGGACAAUGGGGGAAACCCUGAUCCAGCCAUGCCGCGUGAGUGAUGAAGGCCUUCGGGUUGUAAAGCUCUUUUACCCGGGAAGAUAAUGACUGUACCGGGAGAAUAAGCUCCGGCUAACUUCGUGCCAGCAGCCGCGGUAAUACGAAGGGGGCUAGCGUUGUUCGGAAUUACUGGGCGUAAAGCGCGCGCAGGUGGUUUCUCAAGUCAGUGGUGAAAGCCCGGAGCUCAACUCCGGAACUGCCAUUGAAACUGUGAAACUCGAGGACGAGAGAGGUGAGUGGAAUUCCCAGUGUAGAGGUGAAAUUCGUAGAUAUUGGGAAGAACACCGGUGGCGAAGGCGGCUCACUGGCUCGGUUUCUGACGCUCAGGCGCGACAGCGUGGGGAUCAAACAGGAUUAGAUACCCUAGUAGUCC